GAGGUAACGGCUACCAAGGCUCUGACGGGUAGCUGGUCUGAGAGGACGAUCAGCCACACUGGGACUGAGACACGGCCCAGACUCCUACGGGAGGCAGCAGCAGGGAAUAUUGCACAAUGGGCGCAAGCCUGAUGCAGCGACGCCGCGUGAGGGAUGACGGCCUUCGGGUUGUAAACCUCUUUCAGCAGGGACGAAGCGUAAGUGACGGUACCUGCAGAAGAAGCACCGGCUAACUAUGUGCCAGCAGCCGCGGUAAUACGUAGGGUGCGAGCGUUGUCCGGAAUUACUGGGCGUAAAGAGCUCGUAGGCGGUUUGUCACGUCGUCUGUGAAAUCCUAGGGCUUAACCCUGGACGUGCAGGCGAUACGGGCUGACUUGAGUACUACAGGGGAGACUGGAAUUUCUGGUGUAGCGGUGGAAUGCACAGAUAUCAGGAAGAACACCGAUGGCGAAGGCAGGUCUCUGGGUAGUAACUGACGCUGAGGAGCGAAAGCAUGGGUAGCGAACAGGAUUAGAUACCCUGGUAGUCCAUGCCGUAAACGGUGGGC
rnacentral:rRNA from 1 species